rnacentral:rRNA from 1 species
UACGUAGGCAGCGAGCGUUGUUCGGAGUUACUGGGCGUAAAGAGUGCGUAGGCGGUUUUCUAAGUUUGGUGUGAAAUCUCCCGGCUCAACUGGGAGGGUGCGCCGAAGACUGGAAGGCUUGAGUAUGGGAGAGGUAAGCGGAAUUCCUGGUGUAGCGGUGAAAUGCGUAGAUAUCAGGAGGAACACCGGUGGCGAAGGCGGCAUUCUGGACCGAUAUUGACGCUGAGGAGCGAAAGCCAGGGGAGCAAACGGG